GAUCCGUAAGCCUGGAGGGGCAUGAGAUGAAGCCUGGCCUUGAAGAUGCUCCUGGACAACCUUGAUUUCUCUGGAACUGGAUACCUCACUCUGUCUGGCAAUGAUAGAGA